UACAGAGGUCUCAAGCGUUGUUCGGAUUCAUUGGGCGUAAAGGGUGCGUAGGUGGCGUGGUAAGUCGGGUGUGAAAUUUCGGAGCUUAACUCCGAAACUGCAUUCGAUACUGCUGUGCUUGAGGACUGGAGAGGAGACUGGAAUUUACGGUGUAGCAGUGAAAUGCGUAGAGAUCGUAAGGAAGACCAGUGGCGAAGGCGGGUCUCUGGACAGUUACUGACACUGAGGCACGAAGGCCAGGGGAGCAAACGGG
rnacentral:rRNA from 1 species